rnacentral:rRNA from 1 species
AGUGAACGCUGGCGGUAGGCCUAACACAUGCCAGUCGAACGGCAGCACAGUAAGAGCUUGCUCUUACGGGUGGCGAGUGGCGUACGGGUGAGGUAUACAUCGUAAUCUACUUUUUCGUGGGGGAUAACGUAGGGAAACUUACGCUAAUACCGCAGCCGCCCUUCGGGUGAAAGCAGGGGAUCUUCUGACCUUGCGCGAUUGAAUGCGCCGCUGUCGGAUUAGCUAGUUGGCGGGGUAAAGGCCCACCCAGGCGACGAUCCGUAGCUGGACUGAGAGGAUGAUCGGCGGCACUGGAGGUGAGACAGGGACCAGACGCCUACGGGAGGGAGCAGUGUGGAACAGUAGACAGUGGGCGCAAGCAUGAUCCAGCCAUACCGCGUGGGUGGAGGAGGCCCUCGGGUUGUGAAGACCGUUUGUUGGGAAAGAAAAGCAGCAGGUUAAUACCACGCUGUUCUGACGGUAACCAAAGAAUAAGCACCGGCUAACUUCGUG